UGGGGAAUAUUGCACAAUGGGCGCAAGCCUGAUGCAGCCAUGCCGCGUGUAUGAAGAAGGCCUUCGGGUUGUAAAGUACUUUCAGUCGGGAGGAAGGUGGUAAGGUUAAUAACCUUGGCAAUUGACGUUACCGACAGAAGAAGCACCGGCUAACUCCGUGCCAGCAGCCGCGGUAAUACGGAGGGUGCAAGCGUUAAUCGGAAUUACUGGGCGUAAGCGCACGCAGGCGGUUGAUUGAGUCAGAUGUGAAAUCCCCGGGCUUAACCCGGGAAUUGCAUCUGAUACUGGUCAGCUAGAGUCUUGUAGAGGGGGGUAGAAUUCCAUGUGUAGCGGUGAAAUGCGUAGAGAUGUGGAGGAAUACCGGUGGCGAAGGCGGCCCCCUGGACAAAGACUGACGCUCAGGUGCGAAAGCGUGGGGAGCAAACAGG
rnacentral:rRNA from 1 species